rnacentral:rRNA from 2 species
UAAUUGAAGAGUUUGAUCAUGGCUCAGAUUGAACGCUGGCGGCAGGCUUAACACAUGCAAGUCGAGCGGUAGCACAGGGGAGCUUGCUCCCUGGGUGACGAGCGGCGGACGGGUGAGUAAUGUCUGGGAAACUGCCUGAUGGAGGGGGAUAACUACUGGAAACGGUAGCUAAUACCGCAUAACGUCGCAAGACCAAAGAGGGG